CCUGCCCUUCANAGGGGGACGAACAGUUGGAAACGACUGCUAAUACCGCAUACGAUCUGACCUCGGCAUCGAGGAUAGAUGAAAGGUGGCCUCUAUUUAUAAGCUAUCACUGAAGGAGGGGAUUGCGUCUGAUUAGCUAGUUGGAGGGGUAACGGCCCACCAAGGCGAUGAUCAGUAGCCGGUCUGAGAGGAUGAACGGCCACAUUGGGACUGAGACACGGCCCAGACUCCUACGGGAGGCAGCAUG
rnacentral:rRNA from 1 species